CACAACGGCUAAAAAAAACUUUACUCUUCGUAUUAUUUACCCAAAUAUUCGAAAUUCAAAAUGAGUGAUCAGUCAGACGAUUGACCACACAUUGACACAUAUUGAAGCACCCCCUCUUUCACAUCUCUAUUGUUAAAGUUAAAAUAAGAAUAUGAAAUAGAUCUCCAAAUUACCCAUCUUCUAGAGAAUGUAGAUUUUGAGAGAAAAUCCAAAUUAACUUCCUAACUUUCAUUACAAAAAUAAUAUUGGAGAAGUAGAAAUUCAUGGUUUUUUUUUCUUUUCUCGAUCGUUUUUCAGUUCAAAGGGUUAGUGUUUAUUAUAAAUUAUGGGUUUGAGUUAUACUAGUUCAAAUUUCGUUAGAUAUACACUUAUGAUCCCCGACAAUCUGACUGUCUUCCUCCAAAAAUCACCCAGCCAAAAGUGUGUGGUCACGUCAAAUCGAGAGAUACCAUCGUUGCUUCAGCAACAACUUAAAACCUUAGAAUUUGAACACUCUCGCAAUUCGUCCAACUACGAUGCUCAUGUUCAGUAAAUAAAAUUGCUUAGGAAAAUUGGGGAGAUUGAUACACUCAAGCGAAGAGAUUUGAUGAGUGUUCUCCCUUAAUACCCACAAAUGUGGCAAGAGUGGGCUAAAUAUGAAACUACUUUGUCUUCUGGGAAACCCGUCUAAAGUUGAAAAUUGCCUCAGCAUACAUUUCAGCCUGGUCAACUCAAGCUAUCAGAUGGAGCUCAGAGGCCUUUAUCAGAAUGAAGCCUUGAAAACAGAAUGCCUAAUUUGAUCAUAUGAGCAUGGUGGUGCAUACAUCAUAGCAAGACUUAAUGGGAUAAAACACUCAAUGAUUUAAUUUUGAUAUUUUUUUUCUUAGUUUAAUUAGUGACAGUUAAUUGUGUAAUUUUCUCUAAGGGUAACAAUGUACAAUUCUUCAAUUUAUAUUGACAAAAUUCUA